GCUAAAAGGAAGGCCGACCAUCGGGCCGGG
rnacentral:sRNA from 1 species